rnacentral:misc_RNA from 1 species
GACCAAAGCGCUUCUGAUAUUUCGCAGAGAGUUCCAGGACGUCACUAAGAAAACCGAAAUAUGAAACUGUCGACCCAAAGUGAAUGACACCAGUCUGAAUCCAUUCAACAGCCAAAACAUCUGUAGCCGUGAGUCCCCCCUUCACAAUAGCCAUAGCAGCAGAAAUCGGAUCUUUAACACCCAGAACCGUCCAAACAAGGGAGUUGUCGGAACCAGCAGGAAUGAUGCCAAUUGGAAUUGAUAUAGCUUCUUUCUGAUUUUCUCUACUGAGCAGACCAUUGAGAACCUCGUUUACAAUUCCAUCUCCGCCAACACAUAUAAUUCCAUCCGG